rnacentral:rRNA from 1 species
UCAAGAAACUUCCACAAUGGGCGAAAGCCUGAUGGAGCGACGUCGCGUGAUGGACGAAGUGCUUCGGCACGUAAACAUCUUUUAUGUGGGAUGAAAUUAUUGACAGUACCACAUGAAUAAGGGGCUCCUAACUCUGUGCCAGCAGGAGCGGUAAUACAGAGGCCCCAAGCGUUAUCCGGAAUCACUGGGCGUAAAGGAUGUCGAGGCGGUUGUAUUAGUCGUUCGUAAAAUCUACGAGCUUAACUUGUAGGCGGCGAACGAAACGGUACGACUUGAGGUUUGGAGAGGUGCGUGGAACUCACGGUGUAGGGGUGAAAUCCGUUGAUAUCGUGGGGAACACCAAAGGCGAAGGCAGCGCACUGGCCAAAAUCUGACGCUCACACACGAAAGCUAGGGUAGCGAAGAGGAUUAGAUACCCAAGUAGUCCCUGAGCGGGCUGGCAAGGCGCAU